rnacentral:rRNA from 1 species
UGGGGAAUAUUGCACAAUGGAGGGAACUCUGAUGCAGCGACGCCGCGUGAACGAAGAAGGAUUUCGAGUCGUAAAGUUCUUUUAUAUGGGAAGAUAAUGACGGUACCAUAAGAAAAAGCCCCGGCUAACUACGUGCCAGCAGCCGCGGUAAUACGUAGGGGGCUAGCGUUGUCCGGAAUCACUGGGCGUAAAGGGUUCGCAGGCGGAAAUGCAAGUCAGGUGUAAAAGGCAGUAGCUUAACUACUGUAAGCAUUUGAAACUGCAUAUCUUGAGAAGAGUAGAGGUAAGUGGAAUUUUUAGUGUAGCGGUGAAAUGCGUAGAUAUUAAAAAGAAUACCGGUGGCGAAGGCGACUUACUGGGCUCAUUCUGACGCUGAGGAACGAAAGCGUGGGUAGCAAACAGG